AUUGAACGCUGGCGGCAUGCUUUACACAUGCAAGUCGAACGGUAACAGGCCGCAAGGUGCUGACGAGUGGCGAACGGGUGAGUAAUGCAUCGGAACGUGCCCAGUCGUGGGGGAUAACUACUCGAAAGAGUAGCUAAUACCGCAUACGAUCUAUGGAUGAAAGCGGGGGACCGUAAGGCCUCGCGCGAUUGGAGCGGCCGAUGUCAGAUUAGGUAGUUGGUGGGGUAAAGGCUCACCAAGCCAACGAUCUGUAGCUGGUCUGAGAGGACGACCAGCCACACGGGGACGGGGACGCGGCCCAGCCUCCUGCGGGAGGCGGAAGGGGGGAAUUUUGAACAAGGGGCGAAGGCCUGACCCAGCACUGCCGCGUGAAGGAAGAGGGCCUUCGGGUUGUAAACUGUUUUUGUCGGGAAAAAACGGGUUUUGGUUAAUCCCGGGGGUAAAUGACGGUACCGAAAAAAAAAGCCCCGGCUAACUACGUG
rnacentral:rRNA from 1 species